UAGUUGCUGUGGACCUCUGAGGUUAUCAGCGGAAGCCAGCUGGAGCCACGUAAAAUGGUGACUCGCUCCCUAAAUCUCAAUUCGUCCCGGAGAAGAGAAGACCCGCGCCCCUAUUUCACCCGAACUCUAACCCUAAACCAGCGAGAGACGAAGGAGGAGGCGGAGAUUAUGAUGACGAUGAUGAUGCGAAGCUCCUAAUUUCAAUUUAUGCAGUCUUCCUCUCUCUCUCUCGAAAUCCGACCAGCUCGAUCUCGAUCUCGAUCUCAUUCGGUGCAUCUCUUUCUGAUCUGGGACUCUGAAUUCAUGGAGGGAACUUUAAGCGAGGACGAUGGAUUGAUAAGAGAGAGCAACAUGGACCUUAAUGACAACAGUGCUGACACUCACAUGUCACUAGCUCUGGAUGCUCUUGGAGUUGAGCUGAACAACCCAAUCACAUCGCAACUCCUGCAGUUGGAUAAUUCUGACAUAGUGGAACCAAUAAUCGGCAUGGAGUUUGAUUCUGAUGAAGCUGCAAAGGAAUACUACGUAGCAUAUGCCAACCGUGUAGGGUUUGGUGUCCGCAUGAAUAAGUCACGUCGCUCGAGGAAGGACGACACUGUGAUCAUGCGGCGUUUUGUGUGCACGAGGGAGGGAUUCCAUUCCAAGAGGGUAAUCUACGAUGAUGGAAAGAAGAAGAGGAAGCGGGGAACCACAAGGGAGGGGUGCAUGGCCAUGAUUGAGGUCAUUCGUAAGGAUCAUGGCAAGUGGGUUGUUACGAAGCUUGUGACAGAGCACACUCAUAUGGUUGCAUUACCUGGUAAAGUCCGACCGCGUGAUGAUAAAGCAAUCAUCCUGGGUAAUGUGGGCUUGCUGCAUGGAGAAUCGAGUGGAGGUUUUAAUAAUCUAAAAAACUUCAAUAGAGGGAUAAGAGUUAACCCCUUUGGUGAAGGUGGAGAAGCUCAGGGCCUCUUGGAGUAUCUGAAGAGAAUGCAAUCUGAGAACCCUGCAUUCUUUUAUGCAAUUCAAGUUGACAACAAUAAUUGUAUGACUAAUGUCUUUUGGGCUGAUGCUAAAGCUAGGAUGGCUUAUCAGUACUUUGGUGAUGCUGUUACUUUUGACACAACAUAUAAGAAAACAAAGUACAUGAUGCCGUUUGCGACAUUCAGAGGUGUGAACCAUCACUUUCAGAGUGUUAACUUUGGGUGUGCUUUGCUAAUGGAUGAGACAAAGGGUUCUUAUGUCUGGCUGUUUGAGACAUGGCUUGCAGCCAUGGGUGGACGGCAUCCGGUUUCAUUAGUUACUGACCGAGAUAAGGCUAUGGAAGGAGCUAUUAUGAGGGUAUUCCCUAACACUCGUCACCACUUUUGCAAGUGGCAUAUAUUAAGUAGAUGCAAGCAGAAGCUAUCAGAUGUUUAUCUCAAACAUGUCACAUUGAAGAGGGAUUUGAAAGAAUGCAUUAAUGAAUCUGAAACAAUUGAAGAUUUUGAGACUCGUUGGGAGUACAUCCUUGACAAAUAUAACCUGUGGGAUAACUCUUGGCUGCAGUCACUCUAUGAAAUUCGCCGACAGUGGGCUACUGUCUACCAGAAGGAUACAUUCUUUCCUGAACUGUCUGCAUCUCGAAGAUCAGAGAGCCUGAACAAGUUCUUCAAGAAACAUUUUAAUGCGAAAACCUCUCUACUUGUAUUUAUCUCACUGUUUGAUCAACAUUUGGCAUCUCAGUAUGAGAAGGAAGCCCAAGCAGAUUUUACUACUGUGUAUUUGAAGCCUCAUCUGAGAACUCCAUCACCAAUGGAGAAACAAGCUGGUGAUGUCUACACAAAAGCAGUAUUUGAUAAAUUUCAGGAGGAGUUUGUCGAAUCACUUGGUUAUUAUGUUGACAAAAUUGAGGUUGACCCUAUUAGCAAGUACAGUGUGGCCAAGGAGGAGGAUAAUCAUAGAACCUACGUUGUCUGUUUUAGUGAGUCUGACAAGAAAGCAAACUGUAGCUGUUGUAAGUUUGAGUACUCUGGAAUUCUGUGCAGGCAUAUUUUAAGGGUUUUCUUUAUUGUUGGAGUUCGUAUUAUUCCAGAGGAGUACAUCUUGAAGCGAUGGACUAGGAAUGCCACAAGCAAUGUUGUUCUAGAAGAGCGAGUGAUCGAUCCAGGGCUUAGUUUUCAGGAACAACUGAUUGCUUGGUACAAUGAUCUUUGCCUUGAUGCUGUCAAAUAUGGCAUGGAGGGGGCUAUAUCUUCAGAUAUAUAUAAGAUUGCAAAGGUUGCACUUCAAAAGGCUUUUGCAGAAGUUGUUGCUGCCAAAAACAUGCAAAGGAAGGGGCAGCAAAAUAUGCAGAGAUUUGCAAGACUGCAAAAGAUGCAAUACAAAAUGCCUUUGCCAAAGUUGCAACCGAAGAAGACUCCUGGAAGAGUAGCACAACAAGAUGAAGCUAAUAGAACUAAAAGAAGUGCAAAAGAUGAUUCAGUAGAUGCAAGCAAUUCUCAUCUAAAUGGUGGUACCCAUUGAUGAAGAUGCAUUUUCUUGUGUUAUUCCAACUUUUGUACAUAAUUGAUGACAUAGUCACACUCUCAUGUCAUUUAUUUCACAGGAACAAAAGUGCCCUUUGUGGAUGCACAUAUGUUUGUUGGCAAAUGCAGUGUGAUGUUAUCAGACAUUCUGCUGGCAUUCCCUUUCGGGCCACUAGUCAUUCAGCCAUAUUGGAAUUGUGGCAGGCAAGGGAACUGAGGUGUUAGCUGAAGGUGUUUUCAGGUAUAUGAGAUAGAGAAUAAGGUGGAGAAAGCAAAUUGAAGAUCUAAUUUGUUCGGUAUAUUGCUGCAGAUUGAUUAGUAAUUAGAUUUAUAUAUCAUGGAGCUAUCCUGAAUUUCUUUGAUUUGUUUUUGUUCCCUGCUUUCUUACUGUAUCCUGAGGAUUGAGAGGACACCCUUGCGAAAAAAAAAAGUAGGGAGAAAGAGAAAUCGAGAUGCAGUUUGUUUUGUUUCUUGUUUAUCAAUAUAUGUGAACAAACCUUUGAGAA